ACGUCCAUACUAUGUUUAAUACACUGGUUGUUAUCCGAUCACCAAAGUUUAGCAGCAUCAGGCACUAUUAAUCCUUGGAUGGGUGAUCUCCUGGGAACAGCCUGUGAUGUU